UCGAGGAUCUUUAGCAAUGGGCGAAAGCCUGACUAUGCGACGCCGCGUGAGGGAUGAAGGUUUUCGGAUCGUAAACCUCUUUCGAUGGGGAAGAAAUCCUGUAUCAUAAUACGGUACAGGACUGACGGUACCUAGAGAAGAAGCCACGGCCAACUCCGUGCCAGCAGCCGCGGUAAUACGGAGGUGGCGAGCGUUACUCGGAUUCAUUGGGUGUAAAGGGCAGGUAGGCGGCUAUGUAAGUUGGAGGUGAAAUCCUUUGGCUCAACCAAAGAACUGCCUUCAAAACUACAUAGCUUGAGGCUAAAAGAGGAGAGCGGAAUUCCCGGUGUAAGGGUGAAAUCUGUAGAUAUCGGGAGGAACACCAGUGGCGAAGGCGGCUCUCUGGUUUAGUCCUAACGCU
rnacentral:rRNA from 1 species